rnacentral:lncRNA from 1 species
CUAAAUUAAUUGUAUAGCAGAAGAAUGAUGAGGCAGUGCAAUGAACUGACAGUCAGACUAUGAAUUUGUCUGCUGCUGCAAACGUAUUUAAUGCUAAACGUAGUCCCCAAGGAUUUGAUAAUGAAUAUGAUCCUGUGAUACCAAAAGGCAUAAUUGAUCACCGUAUGUCAAGUCCAAUUCAAGCUGUGUGAUACUGCGCUCCAAUUUCGCAACUUCAGCAAGAGACCAUCUGCAGAAGUGGGCUGUCCACCGUCUCUGUUUCGCUGGCGUACGGUUCGCCUGUGCAAGGAAGUUCAUUUAAGCCAUUUAUUGGAAGAGGAAUGUCUGGUUUAGUCCAUGGCGACUGCCAGAGGUCACCGUGAACAACCAGCUGGCAUUCUGAAGACAGCUCUGUGCAGAUGCAGAAGGCAUGCUCGUGUGGCUGGGCUCAGCGAUGGAUGAGGAGUCACUUACGAUCAAGACUCUUCGAGCCUCAGAGAGAAGCAUCAGAGUUGUCUGCGGAGUUAUCGGUUCUGGCCCUGAAUCCCCUUGGCACUUCUCAGCCCUCAGUGGAGAGAUCCUGCAAAUGGAGUUCUAUCAGACAUUCACUGCCUGGCAUCGUCUCCAACCACUGUCACCACCCAAAUGUCUCUGCCUUGCCUUCAAAUGUCAACCAAGUCUGUUGGUCACCCAAACCAGCAUGCCACGUCUACUGAGAGGCCAGGAGAACGCCCUAAGAACCAUUUCUGUCUCUUUUCCUGCAGGUAGGGGGAAAGUUGGCCUCUGGCAUGAUGUUCCUAAAGCCAGCCCCAGCUGUCUACAACUCCCUCAACCCCCGGACCUCCUGAGGCCACUUUAUUUUGGACUUUUCCCUUCUAUUCCACGUGGAUAUUCACAUCCAUUCCCACAGGGACUACUGGGAAACACUCUGUUGGCAGACCCCAAGUUCUCUGUGACCACGGCCGUGGAAGGCUGCGGGGCGGGGCCCAUUGCUUCCUUUCAGCUGCUCUCAGUGAGCUGUGGCCAUUACAGGCUCCCCUAG